AUGGCCUCACCUGGAUUUCCAUCCAUAUCCAUACCCAUUCUCUUCUUGAUCACCCUGCUCUGCACUGUACCCACAUCUUCUUCUCCUGGUCCAAGCAAGAGCAAUGGCAGCGACACUGAUCUUGCUGCCCUGCUUGCUUUCAAAGCGCAGCUCUCCGACCCUCUCGGCAUCCUUGCCAGCAAUUGGACCACCGGCACGAAUUUCUGCCACUGGUUUGGUGUCACAUGCAGUCGGCGCCGGCAGCGCGUCACCGCUUUGAGACUGUCGGGCUCCCCCCUCCAUGGAUCAGUCAGUCCCCACCUUUGUAAUCUCUCUUUCCUCUCUGUUCUCAACCUCGAGACUACAAAUCUCACAGGCUCCAUCCCCGAUGAUUUAGGACGGCUUCGUCGUCUUAAAUACCUGAAUAUCGGAUACAAUGAUCUAUCAGGUAGCAUCCCAACCACCAUAGGAAACCUCACAAGGCUUCAUGUUCUUUCCUUGCAUUUUAACCAUCUAUCUGGUUCAAUCCCGGUAGAACUGCAGAACCUGCAGAGUCUUAGCUACUUCAGUAUCAUGAGGAAUUACCUGAGCGGCUCAAUACCCACCUAUCUAUUUAAUAAUACGCCCCUGAUAACUUACCUGAACAUCGCCAACAAUAGCCUGUCAGGACAUAUACCAUCUUGUAUUGGCUCCUUACCAAUGCUCAAGUCCCUUGUCCUUCAAGCGAAUCAUUUCAGCGGCCCAGUACCUCCAUCCGUAUUCAACCAUUCUAGAUUAACUAAACUCUGGCUUGACUUCAACUACAACUUAACUGGUCCGAUUCCUAGCAACGAAAGUUUUAGUCUACCAGCGUUGCGAAGAAUCAGCCUGGACAGCAACAAAUUCACCGGUGAGAUUCCAUCGGGGCUCUCCUCUUGUAGCUACCUCCAAGGUAUCUCCUUCAGCCAGAAUUUCUUUGAGGGUGUUGUGCCAACGUGGCUGGGCAAGCUUUCUCAUCUCACUUUCCUUUCUUUCGACGAGAAUCACCUUGUUGGUCCAAUUCCUGCUGCACUUAGCAACCUCACUCAACUAAGUUUACUAGGCCUAGAUGGCUGUAAGCUGUCAGGAGCCAUUCCGGAAGAAUUUGGACAGUUGGACCAACUGAAUUGGUUUGAUGUCUCGGACAAUCAACUAGUCGGACCCAUUCCUGCUUCUCUUGGUAACCUGUCUGAAUUAGCAUACCUACACUUAAACAAUAAUAUGUUCCUUGGAUCGGUACCAAGAACAAUUGGUAGUACCAACUCUAUGGUUCGUAUUGAUAUUUCAGAGAACUGCCUAGAGGGGGAUCUUAGCUUCUUAUCCCGUUUUUCUAAUUUUAGAAAGCUCCAGUUUCUUCACAUCUCUUCAAAUAAUUUCACCAGGGGCAUUCCUAACUAUGUGGGGAACCUGUCAAGCCAAUUGCAGAUUUUUAGUGCAUCUGAGAACAAUUUUGUGGGUGAACUUCCGGCUACGAUUUCAAACUUAACAGGUCUUGAAUGGCUAGAUUUUUCAAAGAAUCAGUUGGAUAGCAAGAUUCCAGAAUCCAUCGUGAUGAUGGAGAAUCUCCAGUGGCUUGACCUUGAUGGAAAUCACUUGUUUGGGUCCAUCCCACCUCAGAUUGCAAUGCUUAAGAAUAUAGGUCAUUUGUUCCUCUACAACAAUAAAUUGUCUGGUUCAAUACCGGAGGGGAUUGGUAACCUCACCAAGUUAGAAUACCUGGUACUGUCUGCCAACCAGUUAUCAUCAAUAAUCCCAUCGAGUUUAUUUCAUCUUGACAGUGUCAUUAAGCUAGAUGUGUCUCGAAACUUCUUUGCUGGCACAUUACCGGUUGAUAUGGGCAAUUUGAAUCAAAUUUACAGCAUGGACCUCUCUGCCAACCUCUUGGUUGGUAGCAUCCCAUAUUCGGUUGGACAACUCCAAACGAUGGCCUACUUGAACCUGUCACACAAUUCAUUUGAUGAUUCACUUCCAGAAUCUUUCGGCAAGCUAACCAGCUUGCAAACUUUGGACCUAUCACAUAACAAUCUCUCUGGUACAAUACCAAAGUACCUAGUAAAUUUCACCAUCUUGACCAGCUUGAACAUGUCUUUCAACAAGCUACAAGGUCAAGUACCAGAAGGUGGUGUCUUCUUAAAUAUUAGUCAGCAAUCCUUGACGGGGAAUUCAGGGCUUUGUGGUGCUUCACGUUUAGGAUUUCCAAUGUGCCCAAGUAACUCUAAAAGAGCUAAUAAUGGCCGCAUGCUGAAGAUUAUGCUCCCUACUAUCAUCAUAGCAAUUGGACUUGUAGCUUUCUGCAUAUAUGUAACAGUCAGAAAGAAGAUUACGAAGCGGCAAGGGAUGUCUGCUUCUCCCGGGUCUGGAAGUUUCGGAAAAGUUUUCAAGGGCCAACUAAGCAAUGGUUUGAUUGUUGCAAUCAAAGUUCUAGACAUGCAGCUAGAACAAGCGAUGAGAAGCUUUGAUGCAGAGUGUGGUGUACUACGGAUGGCACGACACCGCAAUCUAAUGAGGAUACUCAAUACCUGCUCCAACUUGGAAUUUAGGGCAUUGGUGCUUCAAUACAUGCCCAAUGGCAGCUUAGAAAUGCUGCUACACAACUCUCAAGGUACAACCGAAUUGGGAUUCAGUGAGAGACUAGGCAUCAUGCUCGAUGUGUCAUUGGCAAUGGAGUAUCUGCACCAUGAACACUACGAGGUGGUCUUGCACUGUGACUUGAAGCCUAGCAAUGUGUUGUUCGAUGAGGACAUGACAGCACAUGUGGCAGACUUUGGCAUUGCAAGGUUGUUACUAGGUGAUGACAGCUCUACAAUCACUGCAAGCAUGCCUGGAACUGUUGGCUACAUGGCACCAGAGUAUGGGGCUCAGGCAAAAGCUUCACGAAAAAGUGAUGUAUUCAGCUUUGGAAUCAUGCUCUUUGAAGUCUUCACUAGAAAGAGACCCACAGAUGUGUUUUUUGUUGGAGAAAUAAGCCUGAGGCAGUGGGUUGUUGAGGCAUUUCCCGCAGAACUUGUCCGUGUUGUGGAUGAUCAGCUACUACAAGGGUCUUUU
rnacentral:rRNA from 1 species